rnacentral:rRNA from 1 species
AACGAACGCUGGCGGCAGGCUUAACACAUGCAAGUCGAACGCAUCGCAAGAUGAGUGGCAGACGGGUGAGUAACGCGUGGGAACAUACCCUUUUCUACGGAAUAGCUCUGGGAAACUGGAAUUAAUACCGUAUACGCCCUACGGGGGAAAGAUUUAUCGGGGAAGGAUUGGCCCGCGUUGGAUUAGCUAGUUGGUGGGGUAAAGGCCUACCAAGUUGACGAUCCAUAGCUGGGCUGAGAGGAUGAUCAGCCACAUUGGGACUGAGACACGGCCCAAACUCCUACGGGAGUCAGCAGUGGGGAAUAUUGGACAAUGGGCGCAAGCCUGAUCCAGCCAUGCCGCGUGAGUGAUGAAGGCCUUAGGGUUGUAAAGCUCUUUCACUGAUGAAGAUAAUGACGGUAGUCGGAGAAGAAGCCCCGGCUAACUUCGUGCCAGCCGCCGCCGUAACAC